AUGGUAGCUGGGUUCAAAGCCCGGGGCUCUGGGGCAGGUGCUUAUUUCAGGGAAGUGAAGAGGUGGGGCUCGGGCCAGGGGCUUUGCAAGGGUGGAAGCGGGGCCUGGAUCGGGCAUCGUGGAAAGCACUUCCAUAACGAGCAUGUGGGGCAUGAGGACGCUGGCCACUCCUUGCACUACUACAACAAAGUGCUGAUGAUUCCCUCCAAGGAUGGUCUUAAGCUGCCUUGCUUCUUCCAUGCUGGAGAGACAGACUGGCAAGACACUUCCAUAGACAAGAACAUUCUGGUUGCUUUGAUGCUAAACACUACCAGGAUCGAACAUAGAUUUGCUUUGAGCAAACACCCCACCCUCCGGGCUUACUGACAGAAAAAGGACAUCCCCAUAGAAGUCUGUCCCAUCUCUAACCAGGUUCUGAAACUGGUGUCUGAUUUGAGAAACCACCCUGCAGCUACUCUGAUGGCCAUCAGGCACCCUAUGGUGAUCAGCUCUGAUGACCCAGAGAUCUUUGGUGCCAAAGGCUUGUCCUACUAUUUCUAUGAGGUCUUCAUGGGCAUUGGGGGGAUGAAGGCUGAACUGAGGACCCUCAAACAGCUGGCCAUCAGCUCUAUCAAGUACAGUAGCCUGUUGGAGAUUGAGAAAAAUACUUUCAUGGCAAUCUGGAAGAAGAGAUGGGAAAAGUUCAUAGUGGAUGUGACAUGAAGUGAGGAGAAACUAGCCAUCCUCCAUGAGCUGCCUUCCGCACGCGCUGCCACUGCCUCUCACCGGUUCUUGAAUCAGCUCCAUGUCCCCAUCAAAUCAAUGGCCUGGGUACGGAGUGACCCUGUGAGAAGCACUUGGCUGGCUGACCAGCUUCAUCCUCUGGAACAUUCUCCCUCAGCUGCAGCAGCAUUGACCCUCUUGAUUUUCUCCACUCUGUGUCCAUCACUUCCAGUUUCCCUACUUCAGAAUCUCCUCUCUGACCUCUGUGCUGUGUUCUCAGGGCUCAGUCCUGAGCUCUCUU